GUAAAAUAUCUACUCACACUAACCCACGCCCGGGUAUUACGAGCCUAGCUUAAAACCCAAAGGACUUGACGGUGUCCUAUCCAACUAGAGGAGCCUGUUCUAUAAUCGACAAUCCCCGAUUCAUCUGACCCCACCUUGCCAACAUGCCUGUAUACCUCCGUCGUAAGCUUACCAUGUGAAUGUCAAUAGUAAGUUUAAUGAUCUUUACAUCAACACGUCAGGUCAAGGUGCAGCUUAUGGUGGGGAAAGCAAUGGGCAUCAAUUUCUAACAUAGAACAUACGAAAUGCUUCAUGAAAUCACGCCACGAAGUGAUUUAGCAGUAAAAAGAAAAUAAUGUGUUCUCUUUAAUAAGGCCAUGGACGUGUACACACCGCCCGUCACCCUCUUCAGCAUUUAUUCUUAGUUCAUAACUCAUUUCUUCACGUUAGAAGAGGCAAGUCGUAACAUGGUAAGUAUACCGGAAGUGUGCUUGGAUUAACAAAAUAUAGCUUAA
rnacentral:rRNA from 1 species